rnacentral:lncRNA from 1 species
CACCCUUCUGGGCCCCAGGCUGCCGCCACUGCUGGCGCUCCAGCCUUGGUUGCGUUGCGCCCUUGAGUCCCAGGAGGCGGAGCCAGCCCAGGGCUGCCAGAGGCUUUCCGGAAAGUAUAAUUUAAGCCCAACGUCAGUCUGGGAAUACUAUUCUCCACUCUUCUCCGGAAGGCGGUGGCAGCCGCCAGGCCAGGAAUCCCUUGAUCCUGAAAGUUUUGUGAGAAGGCCUGGUGAGGAGCAAUUGCAACCGCACACAGGAUGGCAGAGCAGAAAAUAGUGUAGAAAGGCUGCAUGCCUUUACUGGACCUAAGAUGGCCAUGAACCGAAGCUGCUGCAGAUCAGAGCAUGGACAGGGCAUAUACAGGUGCCCCUAUCAGAUGUGUCUGGGAAGAUGAGGUAAGUGAUGCA